rnacentral:rRNA from 1 species
AUCCUGGCUCAGGAUGAACGCUAGCGGCAGGCCUAACACAUGCAAGUCGAGGGGUAAGGCUCUCUUCGGAGAGUACACGACCGGCGAACGGGUGCGUAACGCGUAUGCAACCUGCCUGUAUCUGGAACAUAGCCCCGAGAAAUCGGGAUUAAUUUUCCAUAAUAUCCUUUAGUGACAUCACUUUUGGAUUAAAGCUCCGGCGGAUACAGAUGGGCAUGCGUGACAUUAGCUUGUUGGUGCGGUAACGGCGCACCAAGGCCAAGAUGUCUAGGGGGUCUGAGAGGAUGAUCCCCCACACUGGUACUGAGACACGGACCAGACUCCUACGGGAGGCAGCAGUGAGGAAUAUUGCGCAAUGGAGGAAACUCUGACGCAGCCAUGCCGCGUGAAGGAUGACGGCCCUAUGGGUUGUAAACUUCUUUUCUGCUUCAAGAAACAGUCGUACGUGUACGGCUUUGACGGUAGAGCAGGAAUAAGCAUCGGCUAACUCCGUGCCAGCAGCCGCGGUAAUACGGAGGAUGCAAGCGUUAUCCGGAUUCAUUGGGUAUAAAGCGUGCGCAGGCGGGUGGGUAAGUCAGAGGUGAAAGCCCGCAGCUUAACUGUGGAAUUGCCUUUGAUACUGCUCACCUUGAGUCCAGCUGAGGUAGGCGGAAUGUAGUAUGUAGCGGUGAAAUGCUUAGAUAUACUACAGAACACCGAUUGCGAAGGCAGCUUACCAAACUGGCACUGACGCUCAGGCACGAAAGCGUGGGGAGCGAACAGGAUUAGAUACCCUGGUAGUCCACGCCGUAAACGUUGAUCACUCGUUGUUGGCAAUACACCGUCAGCGACCUAGCUAAUGCGCUAAGUGAUCCACCUGG